AAUGAACGUUGGCGGCGUGGAUUAGGCAUGCAAGUCGAGCGAGAACCCCGCAAGGGGGGACAGCGGCGAAAGGGACAGUAAUGUGUAGAUUAUCUGCCCUCAGGUCCGGGAUAGCUGCGGGAAACUGCAGGUAAUACCGGAUAACAUCUCCGGAUCAAAGGUGUGAUUCCGCCUGAGGAUGAGUCUGCAUCCUAUUAGCUAGUUGGUGGGGUAAUGGCCUACCAAGGCAUUGAUGGGUAGCAGGUGUGAGAGCACGACCUGCGUCAUUGGGACUGAGACACUGCCCAGACACCUACGGGUGGCUGCAGUCGAGAAUCGUCGGCAAUGGGCGCAAGCCUGACCGAGCGACGCCGCGUGUGGGAUGAAGGCCUUCGGGUUGUAAACCACUGUCAGAGGGGAUGAAAUGCAGGUGGGUUCUCCCAUCUGUUUGACAUAGCCUCAGAGGAAGGACUGGCUAAGUUCGUG
rnacentral:rRNA from 1 species